UGGCUCUGGCAUCGAUGAAGAACGCAGCGAAAUGCGAUAAGUAAUGCGAAUUGCAGAAUUCAGUGAAUCAUCGAAUCUUUGAACGCACAUUGCGCCCGCCAGUAUUCUGGCGGGCAUGCCUGUCUGAGCGUCAUUUCAACCCUCGCCCCGGGCCUCGCGCCAGGGGCGGUGUUGGGGAUCGGCCGCCCCCCCCCAGGGGGCCGCCGUCCCCUAAAUCCAGUGGCGACCGCGCUGUGGCCUCCCCCGCGUAGUAGAAACACCUCGCGGGCGGAGAGCGGCACGGCCCGCCGUAAAACCCCCAACUCUUCAAGGUUGACCUCAGACCAGGUAGGAAUACCCGCUGA
rnacentral:misc_RNA from 1 species